rnacentral:rRNA from 1 species
CUAAAAAACCCCCCUCAUACAUUUUAAGACCUCAAAUCAGGUGGGACUACCCGC